UACGAAGGGUGCAAGCGUUACUCGGAAUUACUGGGCGUAAAGCGUGCGCAGGCGGUUCCGCAAGUCAGAUGUGAAAUCCCCGGGCUCAACCUGGGAACUGCAUUUGAAACUACGGAGCUAGAGUGUGUCAGAGGGGGGUGGAAUUCCACGUGUAGCAGUGAAAUGCGUAGAGAUGUGGAGGAACACCAAUGGCGAAGGCAGCCCCCCUGGGCUAACACUGACGCUCAUGCACGAAAGCGUGGGGAGCAAACAGGG
rnacentral:rRNA from 1 species